CCUACGGUCGGCAGCAGUCGAGAAUCAUUCACAAUGGGGGAAACCCUGAUGGUGCGACGCCGCGUGGGGGAAUGAAGGUCUUCGGAUUGUAAACCCCUGUCAUGUGGGAGCAAAUUAAAAAGAUAGUACCACAAGAGGAAGAGACGGCUAACUAGGUGCCAGCAGCCGCGGUAAUACAGAGGUCUCAAGCGUUGUUCGGAAUCACUGGGCGUAAAGCGUGCGUAGGCUGUUUCGUAAGUCGUGUGUGAAAGGCGCGGGCUCAACCCGCGGACGGCACAUGAUACUGCGAGACUAGAGUAAUGGAGGGGGAACCGGAAUUCUCGGUGUAGCAGUGGAAUGCGUAGAUAUCGAGAGGAACACUCGUGGCGAAGGCGGGUUCCUGGACAUUAACGGACGCUGAGGCACGAAGGCCAGGGGAGCGAAAGGGAUUAGAUACCCCAGUAGUC
rnacentral:rRNA from 1 species